UUGACCUAGUGAGAAUUGGUGUUGUUGUCGUGGCAAUGGAAAUGAGGAAGAAUUUUAUAGGUCAGAUCGUGAUCGAGCACAUUGAGAAAACUCCAGAAGGCUAUAACAAAAAUGGUUGAAGAUGGGGUCAAAACUAAGGGUACAUUUGCUUUGAAUCAGUUGCCAUCUAUCAGAGAAAAGGCCAUUCUACUGGUUAAACUGAUGGUACAUAUAGAGAAAAGAUUCAGUGAUGAUCAGGAACUAAAUGCACAAAUUCUAAAACUUGUCAUCUACAUCUACAGGGACGAAGGCCCAAGUGGGACAGAGUUGACAACAAAAUUAGAACAGGCUUUCCUGGCCGGUCUCAGAUGAUGGCAACCAGUCAUCCGAGGGAAAUUUGUAGAGAUGAAAGGAGAUUGAGAUAGGGGAUUGGGUAUCAGCAUUACAAGACAUGUGUAUGAUCCAGAGCUCGACCUCAGCUGCUUUGCCAUUUUACUCCCCACUAGAACCUUCAAGACAGAAUCCAAUAGCAGGUGAAUCCAGGAUCUCCAAAGUCGCUUAAUGUGGUUGUAUACAUGAUGUUACAGGGACUGGGUGAGCAGUUGUGAAGUUGUGGUGUAGAUGUGUUCAUUACUGAGCCUUAUGCUGACCAUGAUAGAGCUGUACAGGAAGCAAACUCUGGAGUGAUCCAAAUAAGUUUCAGACUUCCAUUACAAUGGAGCUUGCGUCAGGUUGGAUACAAAUGUAUUACAAUGUAAUGUGUAAAACAGCAGGAGACCAGGUUGUGGAAGUCCGCAACCAUUUCAACAUCACAGUACAACAACAAGAUAUUUAUAGCAGGUGCUAGAUGGAGAUGUAGAUAUUAACCUGCUGCUUCCCUCUCAGGAUACGGAGUUGCUAUCUCAGCAGAAAGUUUACAUGAUCUUUAGUCAAUCCACUGCAAAUUCUGGCCAGCCUUACAUGAAAAUGUCCAACUACUGGAACUUGUGACUAAUUUACCAAAUAAAUCAAAGGUGGAAUCAGAGUUUACUGAAUAUUGAAUAGACUGGUUUUCUGUCGCCAUGCUGGGAAAUGGUGCUGCAGUACAAUCCGAAACUGUGCCACAGUCUAUUUACAGUAUAAGGGAAAAAACCUGGUCCAGAUAACAUAUUGCCAGAAUUCUUUAUUUAUGGUAUUGAGAGUAUUAUUCAUAUUUUAGUAAAAUUGUUUAAUAGGCUUUUAGUACUGGGGAAUAUCCUGAAAGUUGGUGUGAAUCUAUUAUAAUUACACUACAGAAGAAGGGAGACGUAAAUAAUGUAGAGAACUAUAGAGGCAUCUCGUUACAGAAUGUUUUGUGUAAAAUAUAUUGUGGAAUUCUUGUCUCGAGGUUAAAUUUUUAUGUACAAAUGUAUCAUAAGAUUUCGGAAAAUCAAGCCGGAUUUAAAACAGGUUAUUCAACUGUUGAUAAUGCCUUUAUUUUAAAGUCUGUUAUAGAUCGCAUUUUAAAAAAAAAAGAGACAGAAACUGUAUGUUGCUUUUGUGGAUUUUCAAAAAUGUUUUGACACUAUAAAUAGGCAGAUUCUAUGGAAUAUUUUAAAGGAAAAUGGUAUAAAAGGUAAUUUGUUUAAAAGUUUUCAAAGUAUGUAUCAUAAUGUUAAGGCAUGCGUUAGAUGUAAUGGUUCAAGAAGUGAAUAUAUACAAAGUACGAUCGGCUUAAAACAGGGCUGUUUAGCCAGUCCUAUCUUGUUUUGUUUCUUUAUAGAUGAACUAGAACGAUGUCUUUCAAAUAAUAACGUAGGUGGUAUACAAUUGCACCCAGAUACUAUUAAGUUAUUUCUUUUAAUGUUCGCAGAUGAUGUUGCAUUAUUAGCAGACACAGUGUAUGGCCUUCAAAGGCAACUGAAUAUUUUGUCAGAUUUUUGUGAUACAUUUAAAUUAAAAGUAAAUGAAGGCAAAACUAAAAUUGUAGUCUUUAAAAAUGGCGGCGUACUUGCGAGGAAUGAAAAAUGGAAAUAUAAAGAUACUGAGAUUGAAGUUGUAAAUAAAUUUGGUUAUGUUGGAUUGACAUUUACUAGACAGUUAUCUAUGAAUUGUAUGGUUCAUGACCUAUGUGUU